rnacentral:lncRNA from 1 species
ACAAGCACCUGCACUAUCACUUCAGUGUCCCUACACUGUGGACUCGAGUCUCGUCCAUCCAUAAGAAAAGCGAUCUGUGCACUGAUCGGAUCGAUCACCGUCCUCGUGAUGAUCCAUUGAUCAGGAGCAUUUAGAAAUUAAUCACCAAUGAUAUAUGGCUCAAAUUCUCAACUCUUGAGAAUAUGUAUCCUUAUCUUAUUAAUUCCUUGGACGAUUCAUAGACACAUAAACAAUAUGAAUGAAAAGAUACCCAUUUAUUAUUCAAUAAUAAUAAAGUCAAGUACAAAUUUAUAUUUCAAAAUUAAUAAUGUGUCCGCCAGAUUGGCUUCUAGGGCAUACAUCUACCAGCUAG